UGCCCUCUAAAAAAAAAAGAAGAGGAAGAAGAAGAAGAAGAAGAAAUGAAACGUUUCAUCUCCUUCAUGUUUACCACUUCUUCACAAGUACUCAAUCCCAGAAACCUCCACACCUAUUAGUAGUGAUGUGAGAGAACUCACAACUGGCACCCUUCCAAUUGAUAACUCCAUUGAAGAAAAUAUUCUGGUGUACAUUGGAU
rnacentral:lncRNA from 1 species